GACGAACGCUGGCGGCGUGCUUAACACAUGCAAGUCGAACGGAAAGGCCCUGCUUUUGUGGGGUGCUCGAGUGGCGAACGGGUGAGUAACACGUGAGUAACCUGCCCUUGACUUUGGGAUAACUUCAGGAAACUGGGGCUAAUACCGGAUAGGAGCUCCUGCUGCAUGGUGGGGGUUGGAAAGUUUCGGCGGUUGGGGAUGGACGCGCGGCUUAUCAGCUUGUUGGUGGGGUAGUGGCUUACCAAGGCUUUGACGGGUAGCCGGCCUGAGAGGGUGACCGGCCACAUUGGGACUGAGAUACGGCCCAGACUCGUACGGGAGGCAACAGUGGGGAAUAUUGCACAAUGGGCGGAAGCCUGAUGAAGCAACGCCGCGUGCGGGAUGACGGCCUUCGGGUUGUAAACCGCUUUCGCCUGUGACGAAGCGUGAGUGACGGUAAUGGGUAAAGAAGCACCGGCUAACUACGUG
rnacentral:rRNA from 1 species